GUAGGUGAACCUGCGGAGGGAUCAUUACAAGUGACCCCGGUCUAACCACCGGGAUGUUCAUAACCCUUUGUUGUCCGACUCUGUUGCCUCCGGGGCGACCCUGCCUUCGGGCGGGGGCUCCGGGUGGACACUUCAAACUCUUGCGUAACUUUGCAGUCUGAGUAAACUUAAUUAAUAAAUUAAAACUUUUAACAACGGAUCUCUUGGUUCUGGCAUCGAUGAAGAACGCAGCGAAAUGCGAUAAGUAAUGUGAAUUGCAGAAUUCAGUGAAUCAUCGAAUCUUUGAACGCACAUUGCGCCCCCUGGUAUUCCGGGGGGCAUGCCUGUUCGAGCGUCAUUUCACCACUCAAGCCUCGCUUGGUAUUGGGCAUCGCGGUCCGCCGCGUGCCUCAAAUCGACCGGCUGGGUCUUCUGUCCCCUAAGCGUUGUGGAAACUAUUCGCUAAAGGGUGUUCGGGAGGCUACGCCGUAAAACAACCCCAUUUCUAAGGUUGACCUCGGAUCAGGUAGGGAUACCCGCUGAACUUAAGCAUAUCAAUAAGCGGAGGA
rnacentral:rRNA from 1 species